GUCGAGAAUCUUCCGCAAUGCGCGAAAGCGUGACGGAGCGACACCGCGUGAUGGAUGAAGUCCUUCGGGGCGUAAACAUCUUUUAUAAAGGAGGAAAUUUUUGACGUUACUUUAUGAAUAAGGGGCUCCCAAUCUCGUGCCAGCAGGAGCGGUAAUACGAGAGCCUCAAGCGUUAUCCGGAAUCAUUGGGCGUAAAGGGUGCGUAGGUGGUUUGAUUAGUCUCCCGUUAAAACUUCGAGCUUAACUCGAAAAGAGCGGGGGAAACGGUCAAACUAGAGUAUGUGAGAGGGGUGUGGAACUAAUGGUGUAGGGGUGAAAUCCGUUGAUAUCAUGGGGAACACCAAAAGCGAAGGCAGCACACUGGCACAUCACUGACACUGAGGCACGAAACCUAAGGUAGCGAAUGGGAUUAGAAACCCGUGUAGUCC
rnacentral:rRNA from 1 species